rfam:Triticum aestivum genome assembly, contig: Triticum_aestivum_CS42_TGACv1_scaffold_130368_2BL
UUCAUACUCCCUCUGUCCCAAAUUCUUUUCUUAGAUUUGUCUAGAUACAGAUGUAUCUAAUACUAAAACGUCACUUGAUACAUCCGUAUUUAGACAAAUCUAAGACAAGAAUUUUGGGACGGAGGGAGUAUUAA